AGCAGGAUGGCCUAGUGGGUAAGACCACUGGUCUGGGACUCAGAGGACCUGGGUUCCAAUCCCAGCUCUGCUA
rnacentral:tRNA from 1 species